CCUACGGGAGGCUGCCGGCGCGAAAACUUUACAAUGCUGGCAACAGCGAUAAGGGAACCUCGAGUGCCAGGUUACAAAUCUGGCUGUCGUGAUGCCUAAAAAGCAUUGCAUAGCAAGGGCCGGGCAAGACCGGUGCCAGCCGCCGCGGUAACACCGGCGGCUCGAGUGGUAACCGUUAUGAUUGGGUCUAAAGGGUCUGUAGCCGGCCGGAUAAGUCUCUUGGGAAAUGUGGCAGCGUAACUGUCAGGCUUUCAGGAGAUACUGUCUGGCUCGAGGCCGGGAGAGGUAAGAGGUACUUCAGGGGUAGGGGUGAAAUCUUGUAAUCCUUGAAGGACCACCAGUGGCGAAGGCGUCUUACCAGAACGGACCUGACGGCAAGGGACGAAAGCUAGGGGCACGAACC
rnacentral:rRNA from 1 species